AAUCAAGAUAUUAAGGGCGUAUGGUGGAUACCUUGGCAACGAAAGCCGAUGAAGGACGUGGAAAGCUGCGAUAAGCUUCGGGGAGCCGCUAACAGGCUUUGAUCCGGAGAAUUCCGAAUGGGGAAACCUAUCCAGGGUUAUGCUUGGAUAUCACUAUCUGAAUACAUAGGGUAGUGAAGGUAAGUGGGGGAACUGAAACAUCUUAGUACCCCGAGGAAAAGAAAUUAAAUCAAAGAUUCCCCUAGUAGCGGCGAGCGAACGGGGAUCAGCCUAAACCUGUCAUAUGUUAGUAGCUUACAGGCGCUGUAUGAUGGGGGUUGUAGGAUUUUUCUAGAGACGGCUGUUAACGUCUCGGGAAGUCAGAAAAAAAUAUCUUAAGUGAAAUGUUUGGAAAAAUGUGCCAAAGAAGGUGAAAGCCCUGUAACAUAAAAGAUAUUUUCUUCCUGGGAAAAGUCCUGAGUACCACGAGACACGUGAAAUCUUGUGGGAAUCUGGGUGGACCAUUAUCCAAGGCUAAAUACUUUCGUUGACCGAUAGUGAACUAGUACCGUGAGGGAAAGGUGAAAAGAACCCCGGGAGGGGAGUGAAAUAGAACAUGAAACCAUAUGCUUACAAGCAGUCGGAGCACAAUUUAGUUGUGUGACGGCGUGCCUAUUGAAGAAUGUGCCGGCGACUUACUGUUGGUAGCAAGGUUAAGGUUUAUGCCGGAGCCGUAGCGAAAGCGAGUCUGAAUAGGGCGUUUAGUUGCUAGCAGUAGACCCGAAACCGGGUGACCUAUCCAUGGGCAGGGUGAAGCAAGGGUAAUACCUUGUGGAGGCCCGAACCGGUGAAUGUUGAAAAAUUCUCGGAUGACCUGUGGAUAGCGGAGAAAUUCCAAUCGAACUCGGAGAUAGCUGGUUCUCCUCGAAAUGACUUUAGGGUCAGCCUCGGAGGAAUGCCAUUGGAGGUAGAGCACUGUUUGGGCUAGGGGUCUCACCAAGAUUACCAAACCCAUGCAAACUCCGAAUGCCAAUGGUUAAUUAUCCGGGAGUGAGUCUACGGGCGAUAAGGUUCGUGGACGAAAGGGAAACAGCCCAGACCGUCAGCUAAGGUCCCAAAGUAUAUGCUAAGUGGUAAAGGAUGAGAGACUGUUUAAACAGUCAGGAGGUUGGCUUAGAAGCAGCCAUCCUUUAAAGAAAGCGUAAUAGCUCACUGAUCGAGCGGUUUCUCGCCGAAGAUUUAACGGGGCUCAAGCAUAUCACCGAAGCUACGGAAGCUCAUUUAUGGGCUUGGUAGAGGAGCGUUCUGUUGUAGGUUGAAGUCAAUCCGUAAGGGUUGGUGGACGAAACAGAAGUGAAAAUGUCGGCAUGAGUAGCGAAAAAAUAAGUGAGAAUCUUAUUCGCCGAAAACCUAAGGUUUCCUGGGGAAGGCUCGUCCGCCCAGGGUUAGUCGAUACCUAAGUUGAGGCUGAAAAGCGUAGACGAUGGACAACCGGUUAAUAUUCCGGUACCACCUUAAAUUGUUUGACUGAUGGAGGGACGCAGAAGGAUAGGCCAGCCGGUUAUUGGAUUCCGGUUCAAGCCAGUAGGGAGAGAAAAUAGGCAAAUCCGUUUUCUUAUAUUCCGAGAGGUGAUGUGGAGCCCUUUUAGGGCGAACUGGUUGAUUCCACACUGACGAGAAAAGCUUCUAGGGAGAUUUAAGGUGAUCGUACUAAAACCGACACAGGUAGGUAGGGAGAAUAUCCUAAGGCGCGCGAGAGAACUCUCGUUAAGGAACUCGGCAAAUUAACUCCGUAACUUCGGAAGAAGGAGUGCCUCUGUAGUGUGAAAGCCCUGCGGCUGGAGCAUGAAGAGGUUGCAGAGAACAGGCCCUGGCGACUGUUUAACAAAAACACAGGUCUCUGCUAAACCGCAAGGUGAAGUAUAGGGGCUGACGCCUGCCCAGUGCUGGAAGGUUAAGGGGAUAUGUUAGCUCAGGCGAAGCAUUGAACUGAAGCCCCAGUGAACGGCGGCCGUAACUAUAACGGUCCUAAGGUAGCGAAAUUCCUUGUCGGGUAAGUUCCGACCCGCACGAAAGGCGUAACGACUUGGGCACUGUCUCAACGAGAGGCUCGGCGAAAUUGGAGUACCUGUGAAGAUACAGGUUACCCGCAGCAGGACAGAAAGACCCCGUGCAGCUUUACUGUAGUUUGGCUUUGUAUUUUUGGAUGUUAUGUGCAGGAUAAGUGGGAGGCUGUGAAAUCAUCUCGCUAGAGAUGGUGGAGCCAACGUUGAGAUACCACUCUUGAUAUUUGAAAAUACUAACUCUGACCCGUUAUCCGGGCAGAGAACAGAGUCAGAUGGGCAGUUUGACUGGGGCGGUCGCCUCCCAAAAGGUAACGGAGGCGCUCAAAGGUUCCCUCAGGACGAUUGGAAACCGUCCAUAGAGUGUAAGGGCAUAAGGGAGCUUGACUGUGAGAGGUACAUCUCGAGCAGGUACGAAAGUAGGACCUAGUGAUCCGGUGAUCCCGCGUGGAAGGGUCAUCGCUCAACGGAUAAAAGUUACGCCGGGGAUAACAGGCUUAUUCCUCCCAAGAGUUCACAUCGACGGAGGAGUUUGGCACCUCGAUGUCGGCUCGUCACAUCCUGGAGCUGGAGCAGGUUCCAAGGGUUGGGCUGUUCGCCCAUUAAAGUGGUACAUGAGCUGGGUUCAGAACGUCGUGAGACAGUUUGGUCCAUAUCCGCUGUGGGCGCAGGAAAUUUGAGGGGAGUUGUUCCUAGUACGAGAGGACCGGAACGAACAGACCUCUGGUGUAUCAGUUAUCGUGCCAACGGUACAUGCUGAGUAGCUACGUCUGGAACGGAUAAACGCUGAAGGCAUCUAAGCGUGAAGCCGACCCCAAGAUAAGAUUUCCCAUUCCGUAAGGAAGUAAGACCUCUUGAAGACUACAAGGUUGAUAGGCUGGGGGUAGAAGUGCAGUAAUGCAUGAAGCUGACCAGUACUAAUCGGUCGAGGUCUUGAUU
rnacentral:rRNA from 1 species